GUGCAGCUCUAACACUCUUACUGUCAGAGGUCUGAGGUCUACAGGAAAAAGGCUCGAUGUGAACACUGCCCACGACGGCGUCUGCUGAGCUAAUGCUAAAUCCAGCAAGCCCCUUGGUGUGGGACGCUAGCAGUGAGUCAUUUCUCCCACACGCCCACUCGCUACCUGUAAGAGUGAGAGCUACGCAGCUGAGGGGGCAUCACACCUGAACACCUCACAGGAAGUGACACAGAGCACAACAGGAAGGGUUAACGGGCCGCGAGAUAUUCACGUGGUCAGACAAUAGGUCGUUCACCUACUCAGGCUCUGCACGUUAUCAUGAAGAACAAAAGAAGAUAUCUGGAAAAAGGGCGACUUAUACAGAGAAGCAGCUAAGAAGACCAAGGUAGAAGACUCAAUAUGUGACGAGAACAGCGUGUUCACAUACGCACAUAUGGGGAAUCGUAACCUUUCAAGGCACAGAAAUAGACGACGAUCGUGUCUAUUCCGUAUACACCCGAGCAUCAUAUCACUGGGGAUCCAAUCAAACGAACAUGAACCUACAGUACGAUCUGCAGCCCUACUACCUUCCAUCACCUCCUGACCGAUCAGACACGGAAUUCAACAGCGCAGUAGGUUACACGGUUAAAGAAAAUGCUGUCAGUUGUACUUUUAUUCAGGUCUUUUGUAAAGAAGGUGUUUAUAGUAAGCAGGGUGUGUUCUUACACACAAUACAUGCUUUCGUUUUUAAACCUUUUGUGCCAUGAAAAGUAGAGCACGUUUAUAAACGGAUGGCCCGGACUUGCCCUCGGAUCAGAGCACGGUGAACCGCUUCAGGCACGAUAUUCUGUCUCAC